rnacentral:tRNA from 1 species
GCCUCUGUGGUCUAGUGGUUGAAUCUUCGCUUCAUGACCAAGGGGUCCCGGGUUCGAUUCCCGGGUGGGACC